UUAAGUCGAAUUUUUGUUCUUGCCGCAGUCCGAAUUCGGAAUUCAUCUCUCCCCCCCAGACCCGCCUGUCUACUUCACGCGCUGGGAGAGAUCGAUGGGCGUUCCGAGGAAGAAGUAUCUCUGGUUGAUUUUGCUAAUACUUUCGGAGAAAUUUGUGUGCGGUGUUCUUGCGGAAAGUGUCAGUAAAGAGGAAGCUAAGCUGCUUAGAGAUGAGGUGCGCGAUAUGUUUUAUCAUGCGUUUGAUGGAUACAUGAAGCAUGCUUUUCCGCGGGACGAAUUGAAGCCGUUGUCGUGUGGAGGGGAAGAUACACUUGGAGGAUAUGCAUUGACAUUGAUUGAUUCCUUGGACACGCUGGCUUUGCUCGGUGAUCGGGAACAGUUCACCUCAUCUGUUGAAUGGAUUGGUAAAAAUCUUCGAUUUGAUAUUAAUAAAACUGUAUCGAUCUUUGAAACGACAAUAAGGAUACUUGGUGGCCUACUCUCCGCACAUCUAGUUGCAAGUGACUAUAACACGGGUAUGAGGAUACCAUCAUAUGACGAUGAAUUACUUCACUUGGCAGAGGAUUUAGCUCGUAGAAUGUUACCUGCUUUUGAUACUCCUACAGGAAUUCCUUUUGGGUCAGUGAAUCUAAUGCAUGGAGUAGAUGAAAAUGAAAGCAAGAUUACAUCAACAGCUGGUGGUGGGACCCUGACGUUGGAAUUUGGAGUGCUCAGCCGCUUGACAAAUGAUCCCAUUUUUGAACAAGUUACAAAGAAUGCAGUUCGAGGACUAUGGGCUCGGCGUUCAAGGAUUAACCUAGUUGGUGCUCAUAUCGAUGUUUUUUCUGGUGAAUGGACCCAAAAGGAUGCUGGUAUAGGAACAAGUAUUGACUCUUUUUAUGAGUAUCUACUAAAGGCUUAUUUAUUGUUUGGCGAUGAAGAGUAUCUGUUCAUCUUCCAAGAGGCUUAUAAGGCUGCAAUGUUAUAUCUUUAUAAUGAUCCUUGGUAUGUGGAGGUGAACAUGAACUCUGCUGCGCUCGUCUGGCCAUUAUUUAAUAGUCUGCAGGCAUUCUGGCCUGGCCUUCAGGUUCUUGCUGGGGAUAUCGAGCCUGCAAUUAAAACUCAUGCUGCCUUCUUUAGUGUCUGGAAACGGUAUGGUUUCACUCCAGAAGGUUUCAAUCUGGCAACUUUCAAUGUUCAGCAAGGUCAGAAAAGCUAUCCGUUGCGUCCAGAGUUGAUAGAAAGCACAUACUGGCUUUACAAAGCUACCCGAAACCCAAGAUUUCUGGAUGCCGGAAGAGAUAUGCUUGCUAGCUUGCAAUAUGGAGCUAGAUGCACGUGCGGGUAUUGCCACAUAUCAGACGUAGAAUUUCACCAGCAGGAAGAUCACAUGGAAAGCUUCUUUCUGGCAGAGACUGUCAAGUACCUGUGGUUGCUAUUUGAUUUGGCUGCUGGUCCGGAUAACCUGGUCGAGAAUGGCCCAUACAGAUACAUCUUUAGCACCGAAGGCCACUUGCUUCCAGCAACUCCACAAAUAUCGUUGGUGCACGAGCAUUGCGCAUACCUUGGAGCAUACUGCCGAAGCAUACAAGAAACAGAUUCACACGACACUAUAAAAGACUCCAGAGGCACAAAUCAUUCCGAAUCUUUUACAGACACAGAUAACAUCAAUUUUCAAUCGUGGCCCAGUUUUCAUAAGCCUCGAUCUUUAGGAUUGAUGAAGGGAUUUUGUCCCGGGUUAAUGCACGGGCAAAAAUACGGCGUAUCAUACAUUUCCUCAGACAAUCCCAUUGUCGACGAGUCAGCUAGCACUAGGCAAGGCCCUGUGGUCGAGAAUUCUCCCACCGUUAUAUUGAUUUCAAGCAACAAUUCCGAUUCUCCUUCUGGCGAUGUCUCUGAAAGUAAUAAGGAUGUCGAAGAAAACCAGCUUCCAGUAAAUGAAACAACAGAAAAUGUCGAAGAAACAGAUGCAGAGUCGGGAGGUUCUUCCGAAGAUUUUAGCGAACGCGAAUGAUUGAAUUCAGUUUUGAAGAUUGUAAGUUAAAGCCACCAGGUAAGACUGAUUCCGGGAUUCUUGAAACUCUUUCGAGAUGAACUAUUUGACAACAUUGGGAAAUCAUUUGUCGGGUGGGAAGCCAUACAAGGGACAUUGUUGUCAGGUGGGAAUCAUGCACGGAUCCGUAGCCAAGAACUUGUCGUGUUGUGUAUUUUAGUGUUUACGGCCAUUGAAGCUGUCGAUCGAUCUGCUCUAAAAGCUCGAGUCGACGGCUUAGUGUACAAAAUUCGCCGGCAGCUGGAAAGAGGCAUUGAGGGCAAUGCCUAGUUCGAGUGGGGGAGGAUGUCACGGACCAAAGCUUUGGCCGAGCAAUGCCGAGAGAGCUGCAAAGGAGCGCCGAGGAGGGGCCUGCGGCAUGCGAACACGGAAAGGCUAGCAGAGAUCCUUGAAGAUGUUCCGGAACCUUCUGGAUUACUCUGGAACAUUCUAGAACUCACAGAUACGCUGCUCCAUCUCGUCGAGCUUGUCGUGGUGAUCUCCGACAGUUAGCUCUACCUUAGCCAACCUUCCGUCAAGAGUCCCCAUGACUUCAGCAACCUUAUCCUUGGCGUUCUUCCUGGUCCGCCUAUGAACUUGGUUCUGUAUUUGACAUUUGAUUGUUGUUGAAAGGUACCCUUGUUUUAGACGGACGAAAAUAGA